GACGAACGCUGGCGGCGUGCUUAACACAUGCAAGUCGAACGGAAAGGCCCUGCUUUUGUGGGGUGCUCGAGUGGCGAACGGGUGAGUAACACGUGAGUAACCUGCCCUUGACUUUGGGAUAACUUCAGGAAACUGGGGCUAAUACCGGAUAGGAGCUCCUGCUGCAUGGUGGGGGUUGGAAAGUUUCGGCGGUUGGGGAUGGACUCGCGGCUUAUCAGCUUGUUGGUGGGGUAGUGGCUUACCAAGGCUUUGACGGGUAGCCGGCCUGAGAGGGUGACCGGCCACAUUGGUCCUGAGAUACGGCCCAGACUCCUACGGGAGGCAGCAGUGGGAAAUAUUGCACAAUGGGCGGAAGCCUGAUGCAGCAACGCCGCGUGCGGGAUGACGGCCUUCGGGUUGUAAACCGCUUUCGCCUGUGACGAAGCGUGAGUGACGGUAAUGGGUAAAGAAGCACCGGCUAACUACGUG
rnacentral:rRNA from 1 species